rnacentral:lncRNA from 1 species
UUUUCCUUGAUAUGCAUUUACUAAAAAGCUGUAUUGGAUGUUUCUGGUUUCUGUCUAUACUGAAAUUAAAUGUGAAAUAUAUUUUAAGCAUUUACAUUACAUUCAGACAGACAUAUUAUUUUUUAGUAUUUCAGUAUUUUAUUGGAAUUAACAAAUACUGAGAGUCGGAAGUAAAACUGAUUAAAUCAAGUAAAGGUUGCGCUUAAUUUCUUAUCAGUUGUGUUCCGACAUGGAAGGCAAACAUCUGUGAGAUGCCACUUGGAAAUUUAAGUCUCGUGAUAUUUCUCUGACAGAAAAUUGAUCAACAUGUCCAUUAUCAUGACAAAUGCUUGUCUGAAACUCACUUUAUGGCUUUCCCCACGAAUUGUAUGAAUUGUGUGUUCUGUUAUUGUAGGGAAAUGAUCGCAAGGCUUUUACUGAAAAUAACAAAUAAGUAGGCGAUUGAUAUGUUAUACAUUACCUACACAAGUUAGAUCUGACUAAAUUAGACCAGUACGUAAUGUGAUAGCCUAGUAACAUUACAUGAGGAUUGGUGAAUCGGAAAUAACUAUCUUGCCGCUGGCUUUUUAAUAAAUAUAAGAAAUGUGUACGUGCAUUACAGAACUUAGAAAACACAUAAAAUUAAUUAGAGAGGACUAAAAAAAUCAAUACUAACUGUACCACUGUAACAUUGCAUGUAGACUUGUAUGCUGGAUUGGAGAAAAACUACUCAAAGCCAAUUAGACCGUUAUAGAGCUGUAUUAUUAUUUGUGGAUAUAUGUGAGCUUGUGAAAAUGGAAGGUAACACGUCCUAGUCAAAGAACUGUUGUAAUUGCAGUGGAUGACAGUGAGCAUUCAGAAUCCGCCUUUGAUUUUUUCCUGGACAAUGUAUAUAAAGAAGGUGAUCGUAUCGUGCUUGUCCAUGUUCCUGAGUACGGGGAUCUGCUCACUACACCCUCUUUAUUAACGGACCCAAACAUCGUUUACGGUCUGCUGAAGGAGUCGGAGGAGAAGACACAGGAGCUGGUAGAGAAAUACUCGGUAAAGAUGAAAGGGCGGCAA